GGUGGGGUGCCGGAGUGGUUGAACGGGGCGGUCUCGAAAACCGUUGUGCUCUUGUGGGUACCGUGGGUUCGAAUCCCACCCCCACCGCCA
rnacentral:tRNA from 1 species